rnacentral:rRNA from 1 species
CGCUCUCUGAUAAAAUAAAUAUAGAGAGUCCUGCCUGCCCAGUGAUUUUUUUAAAAUUAAACGGCCGCGGUAUCUUGACCGUGCGAAGGUAGCAUAAUCAUUUGUCUCCUAAAUAGAGACUAGCAUGAAUGGCAAGACGGAACUUUACUGUCUCCUUACCCCAUCUUGAAUUUCACUUCCCCGUGAAGAGGCGGGGAUUAUUUCGUUAGACGAGAAGACCCUGUCGAGCUUACAGUAAAGUAUAGAUUUUUAACUUUUAAAUUAAACUUCUAAUUAAUUAAAUUUAAAAUUAAUUUAACAAGAAAAAUCUAUACUAGCUUAAGUUGGGGCAACUGAGGAGUAAACCAAACCUCCACUACUAUAAAUUUGAAUAAAGAGAUAUACCUCUAAUACUAAUCGCAAGAGACGAAAGAGUGAUCCACCCAGGUGAUCAAAAGAAAAAGUUACCGCAGGGAUAACAGCGUUAUCUUCUUUAAGAGUCCAUAUUGACAAGAAGGUUUGCGACCUCGAUGUUGGAUCGGGACAUCCUAGAGGUGCAGAAGCUUCUAAGGGUUGGUCUGUUCGACCAUUAAAGUCCUACGUGAUCUGAGU